CCCUGUGUGGCUCAGUUGGUAGAGCAUGGUGUUUGCAACACCAGGGUUGUGGGUUCGAUUCCCACAGGGG
rnacentral:tRNA from 1 species